AUGCAGACUUGAUCAUUAACUGCAUUACGUUGCAGGAGUGAGGGGAACCAGGUUUGCUAAAGUUAACUGCAGUGAUACAGCUGUAUUAACUUCAGAUGCUACUGAAGUUUCUAUCCAUCCUAUGUAGUA